UCCACGUCCUUUCUCCCUAACUCCCCUCCUUCUCCAUCGCUCCCUCCUGUAUCUCCCGCCAGUGCCCACCCCUGCUGCAUGCCGCUCAUUCCCACUUCGCGCCCGGGCACUAGGCAGUGAGGUCACCUAUGAGGUUGUGGGCCUGUGAAAGGAUCCUGGUACCCCAAUCACAGCUGGAAGGCUCUCAGAUCUUAGUUUGGCCAAAGGCACCUGGAGACCAAAGCAGGUAGCUGGUGGAGUGCCUCUGGGUUCUGCCUCAGUGGGUCCUGGAUAGUGUUGAGAAGCCGUCUGGUGAGUGAGUUUCCAGGUCAGUAGGAACUCACUUCUGACCUGGCAUAGUCCUUGUGGGUACUUGGAAACCAUGCCCCAGGACUGGCUCCUUAGAGAAUUCUGGAAGUGGGCCAAGGAAGAUCUCAAGAUCUCCCUCUCCUCCGUGCUUUGAGAGGCCACAAAAGCUGCGACCAAUGCCCUCCCAGAUGCAGAAGGAGUCGCCGGCCUCAUUAUAUGCAUGUACCACUACUGCUGUUUGAAACUCCAAUACUGCUGAACAAUUCAGAAAUAGAUCCAUUAUGGGUCUGCUUUCGCCCCAGGGCCUUAACACAGGUCACCAGAAAAUCCAAGAUUUCACAGUCAGUCCAACUCUGAAGAGGGAAAGAAAAAAUUCUCUGCAGCACUUCCGCCCCUACCCCCACCCCAGCCUACCGGGAGCCCCUCUUCGCUUUUUUUCUGCUGCUUUGGAAUAAAUAGGUCUUUAAUUGAACUUGAAAUCUAAAUUCUCUUCAGCUAUUAAUUGA